rnacentral:rRNA from 1 species
UACGGGAGGGCAAGCGUUGUUCGGAAUUACUGGGCGUAAAGGGCUCGUAGGCGGCCAACUAAGUCAAACGUGAAAUCCCUCGGCUUAACCGGGGAACUGCGUCUGAUACUGGAUGGCUUGAGUUUGGGAGAGGGAUGCGGAAUUCCAGGUGUAGCGGUGAAAUGCGUAGAUAUCCGGAGGAACACCGGUGGCGAAGGCGGCUUCCUGGACCGACACUGACGCUGAGGCGCGAAAGCUAGGGGAGCAAACGGG